rnacentral:rRNA from 1 species
CCUACGGGUGGCUGCAGUGGGGAAUUUUGCGCAAUGGGCGAAAGCCUGACGCAGCAACGCCGCGUGAGUGAUGAAGGCUUUCGGGUCGUAAAGCUCUGUCAAUGGGAAAGAAGUGUAUUGUAGCUAAUAUCUGCGAUACUUGACGGUACCCAUAAAGGAAGCACCGGCUAACUCCGUGCCAGCAGCCGCGGUAAUACGGGGGGUGCAAGCGUUGUUCGGUAUUAUUGGGCCUAAAGCGCGAGUCGGAUGUGAAAGCCCUGGGCUCAACCCAGGAAGUGCAUUGGAAACUGGCAGACUUGAAUACGGGAGAGGGUAGUGGAAUUCCUGGUGUAGGAGUGAAAUCCGUAGAUAUCAGGAGGAACACCGGUGGCGAAGGCGGCUGCCUGGACCGAUAUUGACGCUGAGACGCGAAAGCGUGGGUAGCAAACAGGAUUAGAUACCCCGGUAGUC